CAGUCGCCGCGGUAAAACGUAGGUGGCAAGCGUUGUCCGGAAUUAUUGGGCGUAAAGGGCUCGCAGGCGGUUUCUUAAGUCUGAUGCGAAAGCCCCCGGCUCAACCGGGGAGGGUCAUUGGAAACUGGGAAACUUGAGUGCAGAAGAGGAGAGUGGAAUUCCACGUGUAGCGGUGAAAUGCGUAGAGAUGUGGAGGAACACCAGUGGCGAAGGCGACUCUCUGGUCUGUAACUGACGCUGAGGAGCGAAAGCGUGGGGAGCGAACAGGAUUAGAUACCCGAGUAGUCCCUGUCUCUUAUAU
rnacentral:rRNA from 1 species